UGAUCCAGCCAUGCCGCGUGCAGGAUGAAGGCCUUCGGGUUGUAAACUGCUUUUGUACGGAACGAAACGGCCUUUUCUAAUAAAGAGGGCUAAUGACGGUACCGUAAGAAUAAGCACCGGCUAACUACGUGCCAGCAGCCGCGGUAAUACGUAGGGUGCAAGCGUUAAUCGGAAUUACUGGGCGUAAAGCGUGCGCAGGCGGUUAUGUAAGACAGUUGUGAAAUCCCCGGGCUCAACCUGGGAACUGCAUCUGUGACUGCAUAGCU
rnacentral:rRNA from 1 species